GGGGGGGCACUGGGAGGGGCUGCCCCAUAGAUCUGCCCCAUAGAUCAGCACGAGAGAUAGCACAGGUAUGGCUCUGCCCCAUAGGUGGCACUGGGGGGGCUCUGCCCCAUAGGUGGCACGGGUGUGGCUCUGCCCCAUAGAUCUGCCCCAUAGAUGGCACUGGGGGGGAUUCACCCCAUAGAUCUGCCCCACAGAUGGCACUGGGGGGCUCUGCUGCACAACUCAGCCCCACAACCCCAUAAGCAGCCCCAUAACCACUCCACAACCCCAUAACCCCACCCUAUAGCCCCAUAACCCCACUCCAUCACCCCAUAACCACCCCACAACCCCAUAACCCCACCCUAUAGCCCCAUAACUCCACUCCAUCACCCCAUAACCACCCCAUAACCCCACCC
ensembl:lncRNA